UUAUUUCCAUGGAUUGUCAAA
rnacentral:siRNA from 1 species